rnacentral:rRNA from 1 species
UAUAAAUUACGAAAGCAAAAAAUUAUGGCGGUAUCUUAAGCUUUUCAGAGGAAUUUGCUCUUUAAUGGAUAAAACACCCAAAUCUUACUUAGAUUGGUUAAAUCAGUUUGUAUACCACUAUAAAAAUUAUAAUUUACUUUUAUUAUUUCUCUUCUUUAAAGAAAUAAAUUAAGUCAAGGUGCAGCUAAAAUUUAAGGUUGAAGUGAAUUACAUUUCUUUAAAGAAAUGAAACAAUGAAAUAAAAUAUAGGAUUUGAUAGUAAAAUUAAAAUAGAAAGUUAA